rnacentral:rRNA from 1 species
AACGAACGCUGGCGGCAGGGUUAACACAUGCAAGUCGAGCGCCCCGCAAGGGGAGCGGCAGACGGGUGAGUAACGCGUGGGAAUAUACCGUGCCCUACGGAAUAAAGCAUGGAAACGUGUGCUAAUACCGUAUACGCCCUACGGGGGAAAGAUUUAUCGGGGUAUGAUGAGCCCGCGUUGGAGUAGCUAGUUGGUGGGGUAAAGGCCUACCAAGGCGACGAUCCAUAGCUGGUCUGAGAGGAUGAUCAGCCACAUUGGGACUGAGACACGGCCCAAACUCCUACGGGAGGCAGCAGUGGGGAAUAUUGGACAAUGGGCGCAAGCCUGAUCCAGCCAUGCCGCGUGAGUGAUGAAGGUCUUAGGAUUGUAAAGCUCUUUCACCGGUGAAGAUAAUGACGGUAACCGGAGAAGAAGCCCCGGCUAACUUCGUGCCAGCAGCCGCGGUAAAAC